GCUGGGGGCACCAUUAUGCCUUGACACAACCAUUGGUCAGCAAAUUGGUCACAUUAUUGGUCAAAUUUUUAAAUAAAAAAUCAAGAGUUGUCAUUGCCACUCUUCACACACCUGGAGUAAGGAGAACUCAGCCAAGUUCUUCCAGGCAACUCAAGGGCAGUGAAUCCCACCCAUCCCCAGUCUGAAAUAGAAAGCAAGCUAUGGGGAGAACCCAGGAAGAAUCCUAGAGUUGGAGGAGAACACAGUGUCUGGGAGCCCUGGCUUCCUGACCACUAGGAAGUCCUAAACAAAACAUGGAGCCUCAUCACCCUUGUCAGAAUGGGCUGGGUUUUAACUUUGGAAUAUUUGUAUACACUCGCCUCAUAUUCGUU
rnacentral:lncRNA from 1 species